rnacentral:rRNA from 1 species
CAUGCCUAACACAUGCAAGUCGAACGAAGUCUUCGGACUUAGUGGCGCACGGGUGCGUAACGCGUGGGAAUCUGCCCUUGGGUGCGGAAUAACUUCUCGAAAGGGAUGCUAAUACCGCAUAAUGUCGUAAGACCAAAGAUUUAUCGCCCAAGGAUGAGCCCGCGUAAGAUUAGCUAGUUGGUGGGGUAAAAGCCUACCAAGGCGACGAUCUUUAGCUGGUCUGAGAGGAUGAUCAGCCACACUGGGACUGAGACACGGCCCAGACUCCUACGGGAGGCAGCAGUGGGGAAUAUUGGACAAUGGGCGAAAGCCUGAUCCAGCAAUGCCGCGUGAGUGAUGAAGGCCCUAGGGUUGUAAAGCUCUUUUACCAGGGAUGAUAAUGACAGUACCUGGAGAAUAAGCUCCGGCUAACUCCGUG